GAUGAACGCUGGCGGCGUGCCUAAUACAUGCAAGUCGAGCGAACAGACGAGGCGCUUGCUCCUCUGACGUUAGCGGCGGACGGGUGAGUAACACGUGUAUAACCUCCCUAUAAGACUGGGAUAACUUCGGGAAACCGGAGCUAAUACCGGAUAAUAUAUUGAACCGCAUGGUUCAAUAGUAAAAGACGGUUUUGCUGUCACUAAUAGAUGGAUCCGCGCCGCAUUAGCUAGUUGGUAAGGUAACGGCUUACCAAGGCAACGAUGCGUAGCCGACCUGAGAGGGUGAUCGGCCACACUGGAACUGAGACACGGUCCAGACUCCUACGGGAGGCAGCAGUAGGGAAUCUUCCGCAAUGGGCGAAAGCCUGACGGAGCAACGCCGCGUGAGUGAUGAAGGUCUUCGGAUCGUAAAACUCUGUUAUUAGGGAAGAACAAAUGUGUAAGUAACUAUGCACGUCUUGACGGUACCUAAUCAGAAAGCCACGGCUAACUACGUG
rnacentral:rRNA from 1 species